UGAGGAAUAUUAGGCAAUGGGGGGAAACCCUGACCUAGCAACGCCGCGUGAAGGAUGAAGGUUUUCGGAUUGUAAACUUCUUUUAUGAGGGACGAUAAUGACGGUACCUCAUGAAUAAGCCACGGCUAACUACGUGCCAGCAGCCGCGGUAAUACGUAGGUGGCAAGCGUUAUCCGGAUUUACUGGGUGUAAAGGGCGAGUAGGCGGGCUUGCAAGUCAGAUGUGAAAUACCGAGGCUCAACCUCGGGGCUGCAUUUGAAACUGUAAGUCUUGAGUGAUGGAGAGGCAGGCGGAAUUCCCAGUGUAGCGGUAAAAUGCAUAGAGAUUGGGAAGAACACCAGUGGCGAAGGCGGCCUGCUGGACAUUAACUGACGCUGAGGAGCGAAAGUGUGGGGAGCAAACAGGAUUAGAUACCCUGGUAGU
rnacentral:rRNA from 1 species